rnacentral:misc_RNA from 1 species
UGCUCUUCUACAUGAUGGUGCUGCAGUUCCGGCAAUGGGAUAUGCAGUCUCACUGAUAUCAUUUACAUUUUGAGUUGCUGGAUCUUUCAGGUCCUUUUGAAGAUGCUUCCUUUGCUUCAGUUUCUCCUUCGAAUCAGUAGUCCCUCCUCCAAUAGAAUCUGGAUGUUGAGUUACUGAUUCUUGCUGGCCCUUCCUGCGCACAUACUUUCUCUUCGUUUUCUCCUUGGGAUCAGCUAUUUUGUUGGUUGCCGUCUUGUUCUGUUUUCCUUCCUUGACUA